UAACCGGCCCUUUUCAGGGCCACCAACAAUCAAUUUAACGUUGGG
rfam:Nasonia vitripennis chromosome 1 unlocalized genomic scaffold Chr1_random080, whole genome shotgun sequence.